rnacentral:rRNA from 1 species
UACGGGGGGGGCAAGCGUUACUCGGAAUUAUUGGGCGUAAAGGGCGCGUAGGCGGUCGUGUGCGUCGGAGGUGAAAUCCCCAGGCUUAACCUGGGAACUGCUUCCGAUACGGCAUGGCUUGAGUCCGGGAGAGGGGAGCAGAAUUCCCAGUGUAGCGGUGAAAUGCGUAGAUAUUGGGAGGAAUACCAGUGGCGAAGGCGGCUCCCUGGACCGGUACUGACGCUGAGGCGCGAAAGCGUGGGUAGCAAACAGG